rnacentral:rRNA from 1 species
GAUUAAUAACCCCUCUAAAAAAAAAAUUUUUUUUUGGGCCCCCAUUAAAAAUUUUUUAAAAACUUUGGGGGGGUUAAAAAAAGAAGCCUGGGUUUUUAUUUAGUUUGUUUGGGGAGGUAAAAGCCUCCCCCAAGAUUUCCGAUAGAUAAGGGGGCCUGAAAGGGUGAUCCCCCACCAUGGGUACUGAGACACCGAACCAGACUCCUACGGAAGGCAGCAGUGAGGAAUAAUGCACAAUGANGGAAACUCUGAUGCAGCCAUGCNGCGUGCAGGAUGACGGCCCUAUGGUNNGUAAACUGCUUUUUUACAGAAAGAAACCUUGGUACGUGUACAAACUUGACGUAUGUAAAAGAAUAAGCACCGGCUAACUCCGUGCCAGCAGCGCNGGUAAUACGGAGGGUGCAAGCGUUAUCCGGAUUUAUUAGGUUAAAGGGUUCGCAGGCGGAAUUUUAAGUCAGUGGUGAAAGCCUACAGCUCAACUAUAGAACUGCCAUUGAAACUGAUAUUCUUGAGUAUAGAUGAAGUGGGCGGAAUAUGUCAUGUAGCGGUGAAAUGCAUAGAUAUGACAUGGAACACCAAUUGCGAAGGCAGCUCACUAAACUAUUACUGACGCUCAUGAACGAAAGCGUGGGGAGCGAACAGGAUUAGAUACCCUGGUAGUCCACGCCGUAAACUAUGAUCACUAGAUGUUGGCGAUAUACUGUCAGUGUUUUAGAGAAAUCGUUAAGUGAUCCACCUGGGGAGUACGUUCGCAAGAAUGAAACUCAAAGGAAUUGACGGGGGCCCGCACAAGCGGAGGAACAUGUGGUUUAAUUCGAUGAUACGCGAGGAACCUUACCAAGGCUUAAAUGUAGAUUGACAGAUUGUGAAAACAGUUUUUCUUCGGACAAUUUACAAGGUGCUGCAUGGUUGUCGUCAGCUCGUGCCGUGAGGUGUCGGGUUAAGUCCCAUAACGAGCGCAACCCCUAUUUUUAGUUGCCAGCGAGUAAUGUCGGGAACUCUAGAAAGACUGCCUGUGUAAACAGUGAGGAAGGUGGGGAUGACGUCAAAUCAUCACGGCCCUUAUGUCUUGGGCUACACACGUGUUACAAUGGUUACUACAGUGGGCUGCCAUCUGGCAACAGAGAGCAAAUCCAUAAAGGUAAUCCCAGUUCGGAUCGGAGUCUGCAACUCGACUCUGUGAAGUUGGAUUCGCUAGUAAUCGUAUUCUAGCAAUGAUAUCUGUAUUGCGCGC